AAAAUAAAAGUAAAAAUAACAAAUAACAAAAGAAUUUGUGCUUAUAAUAUCUAAAAGUUAUUAAAAUAGUGUUUCUAAGCACUUUGUAUUAGGAUUAAGCUUUUACAUUGAAAUCCAAAAUAGUUUGUAUUUAGAUGGUUGAAACCCACUGGACUACUUGGAUACUUACAAAACAUUGUUUUAUUUUCCACAGUUAGACGCUCGGUGCAUUUUCAAGCUAGAUAGCACGUAAUAUGACAGCGUUUCAAACAAAGUAUGGACAUUUCGAAUAUAACGUCAUGCCUUUUAGACUUACAAAUGCAUUAGCAAUAUUCCAACAUCUAAUGAAUGAUGUCUUUUGGGAAUUUUUAGAUGAUUUUGUUGUCUGUUACCUAGACGACAUUUUAAUCUAUUCUAAGAAUAUAGAAGAACAUGAACUUCAUGUUUGUCAUGUAUCACAAAAACUAAGAGAUGCGGGACUCUAUGCCAAGAUAGAAAAGUGUACAUUUCACACUACUUAAGUCAACUUCUUAGGAUACAUCAUUUCAAAUGAUGGACUUAUGAUCGAUCCUAAGAAAGUUCAAACUAUUAUGGAUUGGAAGAUUCCAAAAAUGGUAAGAGAUGUCCAAUGCUUUUUGGAAUUUGUCAACUACUAUCGGAUCUUCAUCAAAGACUUCUUUCAAAUUGUAGCUCCACUUACACGUUUGACUUGCAAAGACAAACUUCAAUGGAAUCAAGAAGCAGAAGUAGCAUUUGAAGCUUUGAAGACAGCCUUUGUUUCUGUACCAAUGUUAUAUUGCGUCAAUUUUUCUAAGCCAUUUUUUAUGGAAAUAGACACAUCAAACUUUACUUUGGGUGCCAUAUUGUCACAAAUGGGAACAAAUGAUAAACUUCAUCAAAUAGCUUUUCAUUUGAGAAAUUUUUUUGUAACCGAGAUCAACUAUGAGAUCCAUGACAAAGAACUUCUUACAAUCAUGGAUUUGUUUCAAGAAUGGUGCCAUUAUCUAAAAGGUGCUUCUAGCCCAAUCAUAGUAUAUAGGAAUCAUAAGAACCUUGUAUAUUUUAUGUCAACACGUGUUUUAAAUUUUUGCCAAGUCCAUUGGAGUAUGUCUUUGUCAAGAUUUGAAUUCAAGAUCACUUAUUGACCAAAAAAAUAACAAUGUUUGUCAAAUGCAAUCUCUAAGCAAUCUUAUCUUAUACCAAAAGAAGGAGAUGCUACUUUCAAUCAACAAUGGAUAAUUAUCUUGAAGCCAGAGCAUUUUCAUCUUCGAGCAAUGAAAUCAACUCUAACUGUUGAUUCAACUUUUAUUAAGCAAGUUCAGUCAAGUAUGUCUUCUGAUCCUCUUAUUUGUGAUAUUAAGAGAAAUCCUUCAAAGUCUCAUAAUACUUUCAAGUUUGAAUUCAAGAAGAAUCUACUAUAUUUUGAGAGAUGCCUAUAUGUUCCAAAAGGUGAAGAUCGAUUAUGUAUUCUUCAUGUUCGUCAUGACUUUCUAGCUACAGGAUAUUUUGGGUACAAUAAAACUUUGGAACUAAUAUCCAAGGACUUUUGUUGGCCCCAACUGUGAAAAGCAGUCAAAGAUUUUAUACAAUCUUGUGAUGUUUGCACGAGAUCAAAAAUUCCUCAUCAUCGACUUAAUGGACUUCUUCAGCCAUUACCCAUUCCAAAACAACCAUGGUCUUCUAUUUCUAUGGAUUUCAUUACGAAUCUUUCAAUCUCAGGUUCUUAUGACUCUAUAUUCAUGAUAGUAGAUCAUUUUACCAAGAUGGCAUAUUUUGUACUAUGUACAAAAUCUAUCACAAGUGAAGAAAUAGCUAAGGUUUUUCUUGAUAAUAUCUAUCGCUAUCAUGGAUUAUUCAAAGAUAUUAUAUUAUAUAGGAGAACUCAAUUUGUAUCAAGAUUUUGGCAAACUCUUUUUAAGAUUCUAAAAGUGGAUAUAAAACUAUCUUCGAUAUUCCAUCCUCAAACUGAUGGACAAACGGAGCGUAUUAAUCAAAUUUUGGAGCAGUAUUUAAGAUGUACCAUUAACUACCAACAAGAUGAUUGGAUAAAUCUUUUGCCAUUAGCAGAGUUUGCUUAUAAUAACACGAUACAUUCUUCUACAAAACAAACACCUUUCUUUGCCAAUUAUGGUUAUCAUCUACGACUUGAUACUUUUUACUUUUCAAAAGUUGAUAAUCCUGUUGUGAAAGAUUUGACAAUUCAUUUGUCAGAGCUACAUACAACAAUGAAGGCAUAGUUAAAAGAAGCUCAAGAAUAACAAAAGAUCAAUGCGAAUGUCUAUCAAAAGGAACAACCACCAUUCUACAUAGGUAAUAAGAUAUGGUUACUUCAUCGCAAUAUCAAGACUACUCGUCUUUGUGAUAAGUUGGACUAUCAAAGGCUUGGACUAUUUUUUAUUUUUGCACAAAUCAAUCCAGUUGCAUAUUGUUUAUACCUACUGGAGUCAAUGUGAUUUGGAGUUUUUAUAAAAGAAAUAUAGGUACUCAAAAUUAAGUGGUUGGUUUUAUACCUACUGUCCCUCUUUUGAAUAUUAUGCAUGCAUACAAGAAGCAAUGAAGGAUCAACGACUAGAGUUGAAAAGAGCACUUUUUUAUUUUACUUUUUACAUACUACUUAAAGAAUUUUAAGCUAGAAUGAAGGAGAUAUAAGAAGUUGAAGUCAACACUUGCAAUUUAAGGAUACUAAGUGACCUAAUUUACUAGUGGUUGUAUUUUGAAUUAUAUCUUAGAUAAUUUGAUAAGAUUUUGGCUAAUAUUUUUUAAAAAAAUAUAUAUUAUCAUGUUAAUAAACUUUAUAUAUAAAUUUUAUAGCAAUUAGAGUUUGGAUUUUUGAGAUAUAGAGAAAAUAGUAUUUAGGUGCUUAUAUAUUAGGAUUUAAAUCACCUACUAGGAUUUCUAAGAUACUAGAUGAUUUAUAGUAGAUUUUUAGUUUAUUUCUUUUUAUAAAAAAGCUUAAGAAUAAAUUCUAUAUUAUCUAGAAAUUUGAAAAAAACUAAACAGUUGAAUCAAGAAGUAUGAAUUUCUAAAGUUCAAAAAGAAAAAAAAAAAUCCUUUGUGAGAGAUAAAUAUAUUGAAAGGAUUUUGCUAUAAUUUGGAUAUUUUAUGUAAAGUAAAGGGGUUUUUGGGAGCCAAGACUUUAUAUAUAUGUUAAAGAUAGAGAUAUAUAGCCAUAGCAAAAUUAUGAUAUAGAGAUGGAUAUUUAUAAGAAAAUUAUGAAUUUUCUCUAAGCUUAUGGGAAAUCAAACUUACUGGCAAAUAGUUAGUUAUGAUUUGAUAUAACAAAGGAUGUUAGGAUAUUUCUAAAUGCUUUAGAAAGCCUUAUGUAUAAAGCUUCUUAAAUAUAAAAGAAUCUUAUUAAUAAAAUAUCUUUUGAUACUAUUGUAUUUUUUUGGCCUCUAUAAUGAGAAUACAUUACUUAUUGGAAUUUGUCUAAUAAGUUAAAGCUAAACUUCCUACAACUAAGUAUCCAAUGUAUUUCCAAAUAGAAAAUUAUGCCUUACAACAAUAGAUUCAAUGAUACAUGUUAGAUUUUCUUUGAUUCAAGCUUUAAGAUUGAUUCUCUACAUGAAUUCCAAUUUUGAUUCACUAUUUUUAUAAAACCAAUAAUACAUGCAAGCAAGCAACAAGCUGUUUUGUCUCCUAUUGUUUAUCUUGUGUAUUUUUCUCCUCUAAGCUAUUUUAUAUAAUAGAUAUUUAAAAAUUAAAAAAAAUUCAAAUAAUAUUUCAAAUUUUUUUAAAACAAUACACAUUCUAUAAUAAAUAAUUAAACACUAAGAAAAUAAAAAAUAAUUAUAGGUUAAAAUUUUUAAUUUAAAAGAAUAUAUUUUAAUAUUUAAAAGUAUAGAAUGACAUUAAGAUAAAAUAAUUAUGAUGUGUAGUAAGUAGCAAAUAAUACCUAUCAUUUAUAUCUAUUCUAAUUUAUAUAGCUAUUAAAAUCUAAUUUUUUACUAUUAAAGAAGUAAAAAAAAUAAAACAAAAAAAUACAAAAUAAUUAGAUAUAUAUGAAUAUAAUUAUUUUAAAUUUUAAUAAUAUAUAUAUAUAUAGAGAGAGAGAGAAAGAAUGAGAGAGAAAAAUGUUAUUCUAUAUGAAUAAUCAUAUUUAGCAUUUAGUUUAGAAUAAAAUAAAAUAAUUACUAUUUUUAAGUUAUAAUAUUUAAUUAAUAAAAUAAAACUUAAAUAAAUACUUUAAUUAAAGUGGUUUUAAAAAAUAUUAUGGCAAUUCUAAUCUCACUAAGAAAAUUUAUUAAGUAUCAAGCAUUAAAUAAAAUUUAUUCUACAAUUUAUAUAUAUAUAUAUAUAUAUAUAUAUAUAUAUAUAUAUAUUAUUUUUUAUUUUUUAUAUUUUUAUGCAAAAAUAAAAGAUAUCUAAUGUAUUAAUGAAGUAAUAAAAGUACAUUAGACUACUUAACUUUUAAUACUUAGAGGGCAAAGCUAAGAAUACUAAAAAGAAGGGAUAGCUAUUAAAGUUAAUUUAUUUAUACUUUUAUGUAGGAUCACAUCACACUAAAGUAUUCUAAAAUAUCAUUAAAGGACUUUAUUAUAUCUAGAACCUGAUAUGUGAUUUGCCAUCUAUAAUUUAUUUUAUCUCUUUAGCAAGAUAGUUUUAUAUUUCAGGUAUUCAAUUAGUAUCUUUUUGAUAAAUAUCUGAUAGAUUUGACCAUAUUCAAACAAAAUUUUCUAAAGAAGGCUUCUAUUAUGGAAUUUACUCUAUAGUUCAUUUUAAAAAAUAAAUUUAUUUUUUCAAAUCUAUAUAGCUAAUAGACAAAUUCUUUUUAACAAAGACUAGAUCUUACAAAAGUAUUUGAAUUUAGAGAAUAAAGUUUCAAAACAAAAGGCUUAUUUUAAAGUGAAAGAUUAUCAAUGAUUUUAUAUUUUAGAUUUUAACAUCAAUUUAAUUAAAGAAAGAUUGACCAAUCUCAAAUUUUAUAAGCUUCAUGAAAAUUCUAAAAUAUAUAGAAAAUAGAUUCCAAAUUUUAAAAAUGGCACAAAGCACAUUGAAUAUCAAUAUCAGGAUUGAUUUAUACAUAGAAUAAAUUAUAAGAAUAAUUAUUUUUUCUAAUUUACAUGCAUAUAUAAUUUACUUUUAUUCUUUAAAAAUAAAAAAUUAUUAUAAAAUUAAGAAAGAAUUCUUCAAAUCAUAAACAAAAUUUUGAUAAAUGGAUAGAUAAAACAUAUCUAAGGUAAAAAAUUAAGAUUGGAUAUAUUUACAAGACUAAUAUAAUAUAAUAAUAGUUUAUAAAUUUUUUCUAUUAUUAAAUAGUAUAUCUAUUUUAGAAAUGUAUCAUCUAUAAAUAUAAAAUGAAAUAACUUGAUUAUUUACAACUAAUAAGAUAUACCUUUUUAUGAAAUAUAAUAAAAUAAAAAAUUAUUAUAUCAACAAAAAAUCCAAAAUUAUAAAUAUUAAAAGUAUUAUAUAAAAUUAAAAUUUUUAAAUUUUCUACUUUUAAAAAUACACAUACACACACACACACACACAAAUAUAUAUAUAUAUAUAUAUAUAUAUAUAUAUAUAUAUAUAUUGACUUCUAUCAAAUAUCUCAUAUAUCUAUAUCAAAAGUUAAAUAAAAGAAAGUUGGUUUUUUAUAUAAUGUUCAUUAUAUAGUUUUAUUUUGAUACAUGAGUUUUGUAAGUAUGAUGUGUUAUAUAUAUUCAUGUUGUUUUAAAUAUUUAUUAUUUUUUUCUACUUCUAUUAAAGUUUUAUAUUUUAGGUUUGAUGAUCUUAUCAAAUUUUAGUUUUUUUUUGCAUUUAAUAUGUUUCUUUAAAAAUCCUCUUUUUAAGUUUAAUAUUUAGGAGUUACUUAUUUUUUCUUCUAAUUAUUAGAAUCAAUUCUACAUUAUGAUUAGCAAUUAAAGGUAAUAAAAUGAGGUGCAAUUGAAGGUAAAAGUAUGAACUUGUAUAUAAACAAGGAUUCAAUUACUAAAAGAAAUUCAAUCUAUCUUUUAAAUGUUUAAAAUUUAAAAUCAUCUUUAUUCAUUUUCACUUUGAGAUAUGUCAAAAUCUUGGAUCUUCCUAGGCUAGCAUUAAUUAGUUGGUGAUAUUGGAUGAACUACCAUUGAUAGUGCCUAAAACUUUUUAUUUUAAUCUCUAGCAAUAGAUUCAUUCAUUACUUAAAUAAAUAAAAUUAAAUAGAAGAAAAUAAAAAUAUAUUAAAUAGAUGAUAUUUUCUAGAAGAAGUUUUAAGUAUUUUUUUAGAAAGAAUUAAAUAUUUAGACUUUUAUAGAUAUAUUAUAUGGUUAUUUCAACUUAUCCUAUAAGUUUUUUACUUUUAGAGAAUUAUAUUAGAAGCAAUUUAUUACUUGAUUCUUAAUACAAAAGCCUUGUAGUUUCUAGAAAGCUUCUAUAAGACCUUUUUAAUAGCAAAUAUAUAUGGAGACAAAAUUAAGAUCAUCAUUAAUGUUAUCAAUAUUUUUCUUAUAUUCUAGUCCUAAUUCAAGUUUAUCUAUAUUCUUAUUAAUUAAUAAUAUUUAUUUUAUUUUUUUUCAUACAUAUUUGUUAAAUUUCUAUUUUUUUAAUAAAAUAAGAGUGUAGUCUUUUAUAUUUUAUUUUAAUUUUUAUGUUUGAUAUCUCUUGAAUAACUUCAUUCUUUCACUUUUUAUUACAUGUCUUUUGCUUACUUCUUAUUUUUCCUCAUCUUCUUACCUUUUGAUGUAUGUUGUCUUAUCACUUUUAAGUUCAUCUUAUAUUUUUGUAUGAUUAGAAAGAAAGAAUUUAUAAUUAUUCAAAGAAUCUCUACUUUGGUAUAAUAUUAAAAACUUUUAGUAAAAUAAUUCUUUCAUUACAUGAGAUCAUGGAUGUAAUUUUUUAAUACAUAUUAUAAUGAUCAAAAAAAUAUUUAAUUUUUUACAUGAGUACAAUUAAAUUUUUUUCAUAUAAUUUAUAAUUUAUUCAUAAGAGAAUACUUCUCUUAUAUAAUGUUUAUGUAAUCUAGUCUAAUACAUACUAAGAAAUAUUUUAAUCUUUUUUUUAAUAAUCAUCUUAAGUCAUUAUUAAGGAUAAGAACUUGAUGAAGGCAAAUAAAAAAGUCAAAUUUUUCUCAAAGAAAGAUAAAUAUAUAUAUAUAUAUAUAUAUAUAUAUAUAUGUGUGUCUUCAAAAAAUAAUAAUAAUAGCUAUUUCUUAAAAACAAUUGACAUACUUUGAUCUUUGUUCUUUUUGAAGAUAGUUCAUAGGACUUUUCAACCAUUGAAGAUGUCUCAUUCCAAGGUAAGAAGAUCAUCCUGAUAUUUAAUUAUUAUUAAAGGCUUUGUAACUUCUUUCAAAGAAAAUAUUUCUAACACCAUCAAGGGUCAUUUUUACCUCUAAUAAAAUCACCAAAUAUCAAGAGUCUCUUCUGAGGUUGUAAUAUUAGAUGCAUUAUAUCUUAUCAUCUAUUUGAAGAAGAACAUGUCAUUCUUGAAGGUCUUUAUUUCUAUCACAUAGUUUUGAAGGCUAUAACAAUUACAAUGCCUUGUCCAAUAAAUUAGCAAACAAUAGCUUUUAAAUUGAAUCUACUUAUAGUUGGUUUUUCAUCUUAUUAGUACUACUAAUACAAAGAAAUUACAAUAAAAGAUAGAAGAUAAAAUUCAAACUUUAUUGAACAUCCUUUCUUUAAUAGUUAAGAUUUUUUUGACUCUUCAUCUUGGUUUUGAUGGAUGUUAUUGAUGAAAAACUUUGAUUUUUUUUGUUGCAUUUGCAAGAUUCUUUAGUGGCUCUUAUAUGUAUUCAUUAAUAUUAUAUCCAUGCCGAUGAAAAAGAUAUUUCAACUUAAGUUGAUAUUGCCUAGAGCCUAAAACUUCAUUUAUCUCAAACUCUUGAUUAUUACUUACUUCUAUAAGAAAUAUUAGGACUUAACUUCUUCCUCAGAUAUUCAUUGUUUUAUAUGGUUCAAGAAUAGAUACAUGAAAUAUAAGAUGAAUCUUCAUAGACUUUGAUAGAUAUAAUCAAUAACCAAUUGGAUUGAUUUAUUCAUAAAUAAAAAAGUUCAAAUUUAUAAUAAUCCAAAUUAUUAUAAUAAAAAAUAGUCUUGAUAUUAUGACAAAGUAAUCAUAUUUUAUUAUCAACAUAGAAUUGAUGUUAUUUCUUAGAAUAGGCAUUUGAAUUGGUCUUAUGUUGAUAUUGAGUUUUUUUCAAAAAAAUUUAUCUUCAUUGUUGUAUAUAGCUCAAAUGAAUCAUUUGUUAAAUCUUCUACUAUAGGAUUAUCAACUUUUGAAAAUUUAAAAGUAUCAAAUUGUAGAUAAUAAUCAUAAUUAAUAUUAAAAGGUGUUUAUUGAGUUAAAAAAUGUACCAUGUUAUCAUAAAUAAAUUCUACUAAUAUUAAAAGAAUUACUAAUUAUCUUGUUCAUAGUUGAUGGUGCGUUUCAAAUAUUGCUCUAAAAUUUGAUUUACGUGCUUUGUUUGUCUAUCAAUUUAGAGAUAGAAAACCAAAAAUAAUUUUAUAUCUAUCUUUAGAAUAAUGGAAAGUAUUUUCUAAAACCUUAAGACAAAUUAAAUCUCUCUAUUCAAUAUAAUAUUUCUUAAUAAUCUAUGAUAGCUAUUAAUGUUAUCAAAAAAAGAUUUAAAUGUUUCUUUACUUAUGAUAGAUUUUUUACAUGGUAUAAAAUAUGCCAUUUUGAUAAAUUAAUCUACUAUCUUAAAUAUAUAAUCAUAAGAAUCUAACAUUCAAAGAUCUAUGAUAAAAUCUAUAAAAAUAAAAGAUGAUGAUUUUUUUAGAAUAAGUAAUGAUUGAAAGAGUCCAUGUAAUUGAUAAUGAGAAAUUUUUUAUAUUUAACAAAUAUUACAUGAUUGUGCAAAGUCUUUGACUACCCUUCACAUUUGAAGCUACCAAAAAUCUCUUAAUAUUAGCUCCAAAAUCUUAUUGUAUCCAAAAUAUCAUAUUAUUUGAAAUUUGUAAGGAACUUAAAGGAUAUAUAAUUAUAUUUCAUCUUCUAGAAAUAUAAGUACCUUUUAAAAUAAAAUAGAUUAUUUUUAAAUUUAAACUUAAAAGUAUUAUGAGAUUUUGAAGAAUUUUUCUUAAUAUAACAAAUAAGAAGAUCAAAGGACAUACAUAACUAAACUUGCUUAAAAAAAAAUUACUAAAAGAUAAAAAAGAUAAAGAGGGUCAUUUUUUAUUGAACAAAAGGUGCAUUUCUUUCUUUUGGUGUAAGAUAAGAUCAUCUAAAAUGGGCAUCAAACAAACCUUAUUAUUUUCUUGAUCAAUAAAUAAUCUUGAAUUUGUAUCUUAACAAGAACAUACUCCUACAAGUUUGGUGACAAUUCAAAAUAUGUCCUAACAUGAAAUAUUUAAGAUUCUUAUGAUUUAUAUAUACAAUAACUAGAUUAGAAGUACCUUCUAUUUAAUGAUGCUAUUCUUAAAAUAAUUCUACAAUUGUAAGAAGUUUUUUAUUGUGGAUCUUGUAGUUGAUCUCGAUUGAUUAAAAUAUUCUUGAAUGAAAAGAAAUAUAAUAAAGAUUAUCAUUUGCUCCUAGUUCUGACAAUAUAACAUUUAAAGCAAAGUCUAAUUCAUUUGUUUCUAUAAAAAAUAUCAUGAAAAAGUCAAUAUAAUAUAAGAUUGCUUACUUUGAAGAAAUUUACACAUGGAUAUAUAUAAGCAAGGAUUUAAAACUAUUAUUAGUAUUUUAGCAAUAUCUCAAGAUCCAUAAUGAAUUUACACUUGAAUUUUUUUAUGGUAGUUGUUAAAAGUACAUUAGUACUUCAUAUAAAAUUUUGAUUUGUUUAGACAGUUUGAUCAUGAGAUAUGAGUUGUUGAAGUUCAAGAAGAAUUCACCUUAAGAGUAUAUAAGGUUUUAUAAUACUUUUAUUAUAUUUUUAGUCACCUUUGAUACUUAGGACUUAUGUAUUGAUGUAAUUGCCUAUAUAGGAACAAUUUUAUAUAUAAACUUGGUAUUUUUUUUAUUUUUUUUAUUUUUUUUUUAUAUCUUCAGGCUUGGUUGAACAAUUAAUGAUAGCCAAUUGUCCAAUGGUUUUUGAAGGCAAAUGUUUAUCUUGACAUAUUCGUGCUUCUAUUAAGAGUGCUUUAAGGUACUAAUUUCUUAACAAGUCAAGAUGGAAGAUACAAAGUAAGGAAGUUCAAAUGAUGGAGGUAAUUAAAAUCCUAUAGAUGAAUUUUUAAGGGCCAUAUAAAUAUUCAUAAACCAACAAGUUAUUAAAGCAACUUUGCAAGGAGCUACCAAAGCAUUGAAGGAUGUUAUUAAUAAAAUAGAGAGGUUUGAUGGAAAAAAUAUCACAAAGUUUUUGAAGGUCUAUACUUAAGAAAUAAAAAUUUAAUAAGUUCCAAAAGAUAGGAUGAUUGAAAUCUUUAAUUUAGUAAUCGUAUUAAAGAUCAAAGAAAGAGAGAAACAACUAUAUAGAAGUAUUGAUGUAAAAUCAUGGACUAGAUUUAAAGAGAGAUUGUGAGAUGAAUACUUUAAUGAAGAUAAUGAAAGAAUAACUAGGAGAAGUUUUUUUGAUGGAGUGGAGCAACAAACGUAAAUAUAUGGAAUCAAACAAGUUACUUAGGAAGUUUGAGAAGAAAUUUGGCCAAAUUCCAUUAUCUAAAAAGCACCUUCUAGACGUGAAGAAAUCAAAGUUAUUCCUACAAGCUGCAUAUGAGAUGUUAGAUGAUAGAUUUUUUCUCUUUUUCUAAGAUGGAACAACAAAAGGUGGUUUUAAUACUGAUUGGAGAAGGUUGAAUGAGACGAUGAAUCUCAUUGCUAAGCAAUAAUAUGUAAAGUCUAGAGGAUUUGGGACAAGGAUGGAAGCUAUACUAGUAUAAGAUAUGAAAUAUCCAACAACAACUCUGUCUACUCCUACUCCAUCAAACUUUUUCAAGAAUAAGAAUAUAGAUAAAAAAAUCCUUGAUGAACUAAUAAAAAGCAUGAAAAAAUUAAAGAUAGAAAUGAGUGCUUUGAAAAAAGACACAAGGUCAAGCACCUCAUGAUUGUGGAUUAUAUACAUAUACCAUGAAGAAUGAUAUUAUUAACUUCAAAAAAUACAAAAUCAGAGAUGCUACAACAAAUAAGCCUCUAGAGACUAAUUUUGGAAGAAGAGGCAUGAAAAAAUUGAUAGAAAAUAGAUUAGAGAGGAAAAAAUCUUCAUUUAAUAAGAAAGUAGAGACUUAUACCAUUGAGGCUAAAUACAUCAAGAUAGAAAUAUCUACACAAGUAUCUAAAGAAGUAAUGGUGAAGGAAGCUUAAGCUAUUAGAAGACUAACUAGAUGAGAUGAUUCAAUUGAUUCAACUACUAUAAGGGCCUAUUUGGUAAGUGUGCAUGGAGAGAAGAAAUCCUAUGAUGCAUCAAUAGAGAUUAAAAGGCAAAACUAGUAAAAAAGAGGAGGUAAAAGAGUCAACUAAGAAGGAAAAGGUUCUAAAUGGUAGAAACACUGCUCCAAAAGAAGAACCAAUAAGUAAAAUAAGAUAGAAGUAAGAGGCCAAGCCUUUUGCUUCACAUCUAAGAGUUGAUGUUUCACUCUCAAAAAAAAACAACAUUGAGAGAAAGGGUAAGGUAUCAGCCUAUAAACUUUAAUCUAAUAUUGAAUCUUUAGGUGAUAUGAUGGAUAUCUUAGAAGAGAGGAUUUUGAAUGCUAAGAUUGAGUUUACCUUGAGAAAAGCUAAUGAUAUUGCCAAAAAAGAUUUUUAUGAGCUCAUCAUUGAUGUUUAUGAAGAGGAAGAGGUAAAUGACAACUUAAAUAGUCAUGGCAAGAGUAUUAGAUACUUUGAUGAUCAAGAAAGAAGAAGAGGAGAUUGGACAAGUUUUUGCCUUGAAAUGCAAUAAUAUGGAUAGUAGUAACCAAAGCAAAAGGCAUAGAAUUAUUUUUGAUUAGAUUGUAAAAAAAAAAGUUAAAAUUAUGAAAGAAGAUUUGGGUGAUGAAAUAAAAGAUGAAGUGCUACAAAUAUUUUUAUAUGAUGGAAUAGCUAACAUAAAGGUAGAAGCCAAUACUAACAAGAAUCAAGAAGGAAUUACAAUAGAGACCAAGGUAUCUCAAUGUAAGGUUAAUAAGCUAUGGAGGAAUGAUACUAAAGCUUUGAUAACUUAUACUCAUCUAUUUUGGAUAAAAACUACUAUGGAGACAUGUGUAAAGAUUAGAGACCUUGAAGAGCCAAUUCUUGCAUUUAUAGAUCAUGGCUUUGAGAUCAACACCUUAUGCAGAAAGAUUUAUGAGAAGGAUAAGUAAUCAAUUGACACCAGCCAUAGAUGGGUGUUGAGAGCUGCCAAUGAUGAAAGAAGUAGCUUUUAUAGAGCAUGUCCAAUAGUGGACAUCAAAAUUAGUGAUGUGAAAGUAAAACAAAAUUUCUUUGUAUAAAAUUAAGGUAAUUUUCCAAUCAUUUUGGAGGACUAAUAUAUCACUGCAAUAAGGAUGGAAACUAAGGUGUUGAAUAAUGGCUCAUACUAUACUAGAAUUUGUAGCCAUGAUAACAAGAGGUCAAAUCAAUUUCUUAUAGUAAGGCGAGAUCAUGAGAGGCAUAAAAUUUAACUUAAAAAAACUCCUAUAAACCAUGAACAAGAUAAUUUUUUGGAUUUCUAGAUUGCACAUGUAGAGCAUGGAGUGCCACAGGUAUAAAGAAAUCAUCUAUUAUAGUAUGCUUUAAUAUACAAAGAAGAGUUUGACAAUUGAUGGAUGUGUAAGUUUUCAAAAGGUUAAAGAUUUGCAUUCCAAGUAUAGAGGAUCAAUUAAGAAGAUAGAAGAAAAAUUAAAAAGAAUUGGUGUAAUUUUGAGUUAUGAGUCUAUUUCUAGAGUUAUUGAAGAAGAAAGAUUUUUGAAUGAUAUUCUACAAGUUUUAGAAACUUUAUAAGGUGAAGGUAUUGCAUCUAUUAAUAUGAUAGCAGAAAUUCAUUCAAGAAGACUAUAUGAAGAGAUAUUGAAGAUAGCUGCUAAUAUAAAUUUGAUUCAGAGUUAUGACUUGGAAAUUGAGGCAAUAGUGAAUACCAAGUAUAAAACUAUAGCAAAAAGGAUAAAGCUAGUAGUAAUACAACUAUGACUGCACUCUGAAGAUUACAUCAAGAAGAUUGAAAAAGAGCCUAAAGUAAAAGAGACAAGAAGGAUUGAACACAAUUUCACAAAAGAAACAUUAGCUAAGGUGAAGAUUGGAGGGAGUGAAUUCUUGAAAGAACGUAAGAAAAAAAAGUUUCAAGAAAUAAUUUUCAAGAAUAGUAAGGCUUUUAUCUUUUUACAAUAUUAGAUUAGAUGUGUUAGUCCAAAGGUUGUUGCGUCAAUGGUCAUUUUUACUAUUCCACAUGUGCAUUAGAAUUUAAAGCCAAUUCAUAUGUCAAAAGCCUUAUUAUCUAAGUUGGUGAGUCUAUUGAAGGAAAAGAUAUAAAUAAAAAUAGUUGAAUCAUCUAUGGUUCUAUAUUCUAAUGAAUGAUUCAUAAUAUUAUAGAAGUUUGGAGCUUUGAGAUUCAUUCAAGAUAUGCAGCCAACCAACAAGGUGACAAUUAAAAAUAAGAGAUUAGAACUGAUUAUAGAUGAAAUUGUUGAGGCUUUUACAAGAUAUGUCAUCUAUUCUAUUGAAGAUCUUUAUUUUGAUUAUGAUCAAUUUUAACUUAUAUCAAAAAGUAAAGAUUUGAUAACCAUAAAGAUUCCAUUGGAACUUAUAAAAAUAUUCCCUUUGCUUCAAAGUGCUAUUCACUCAAUAGCUUAUAUGCGGAAUAUCAAAUCUUAAGGAAUUUUUUGCUUAAGAAGACUAUUUUUUUGUAGAUGAUAUACUUAUUAAGAACGGCAAAGAAAAGGUUAGAGACUUGAUGUUGGAUAUUGAUGGAUGUAGAAGGUUUGUAAAAGAUAAUAUUAAAGAUGUGGAGAAGAUUUUAAAGAGGCUUGAAGAAGUGGAUUUAACCUUGCCAAUUGAGAAGUUUAAAUUUGAAGUUGAUAAGAUUGUGGUAAUUGAAUACUUGUGUAGAAGAUAUAGUAGAAAAUCUAAUCCUAACAAGGUUGAUUCUUUUACUAGGAUAAAAGCAUGUAAUAGCAUCACUAAAGUAAAGAGGUUUUUAGGAGCUUGUAUCUUCUAUCUUAUUUCGGUUUCUUACUUUUUUUACAUAAGUGAUCUAUUGUACAAUCUUUUAAAAAAAAGAACUAAGCUUAGAUGGAAGAAAAAGCAAAGAUUAGCCAUGGAUGUUCUAAAAGAGAUUUUGAAGUCGCUACUAGUCUUCAGGCAAGUUGACUGUAAUCAACGUAGAGCAAUUAUUGUUAUUGUUGAUACAAAUCCUAUUGCUAUUGGAUGGGCUAUCGGUCAAAAUUAUGCAAAAGGUAAAAAUUUUGCUAUCAAAUUUAGAGCAAGAAUUUUUACAAAUAAAUAGAGAGUAUAUCCACAAGUAAAGAUGAAAAUUUUAGGAGUACUUAUAGUGUCAAGGACAAGAACUCGAUGAAAGCUAAAGAGUAAGUGAGACUUUUCUCAAAAAGAAAUAGGACAAAAUAGAAAUAUGUAUAUUAAGAAAGAAACUGGAAUGGCUAUUGCCAAAAUACAAGAAAACUAGAGACCCUUGAAACUAGACUAGAAGCAAGAAAGGAGUUGACAAGAGUGAAGAGGGCUUCACUCUUGCCUCUAUAUAUACUAUCUAACUAGAAGCCACGUGGCGAUGUUCUAUAAGACCUCCAAUAUAUGUUGACUUUCUAGGCCACAUGCCUUUGCUUGCAAGGCAAGUUUUCUAUGGAUGGACCACGUAGUUAGCUUGUUCUUUAAGCUUCCAACAUGUGUGGCACAUGGCUAACUUGUUGACCAAGUUUCUAACCUAAAAGUCAACUAUAGACUCCUAUAAAGUCAAAGUAGCGUCUAUGAAGCUUCUAAGAAGCUUCUCUAGAAGAUAUUACACAAUUAACCUACUUUUACAUACUUUUAUCUAUUCAUAUAGGUAAUUAUAUGUAUGUCCGUGACAUUACCCCCCCUUCUAGGGACGAGUUCCACGAGGAGCGGUGAUUAUAUAUUGAGAAAAUCUAAUAUGCGGCGAAUUAUAUUUGCUACAUACUCUGAUCUUUGUUCUCUUCGAAGAUAGUUGAUGGGUCCUCUUAGCCAUCGAUAGUGUCCCAUUCCAGGGCGAGAAGACCACCCUGUUAUUUGAUCACUGUUGAGGCCUUCAUAACUUCCUUCAAAUAAUGCAUUUGAAACACCAUCAGGAGUCGUUCCUAUCUCCAAUAAUAUCACCAAACAUCGAGAAUCUCUUCCAAGGUCGUGAUACCAAACGCGUUGUAUCUCACCAUCUAUUCGAGGAAGAACAUGUCGUUCUUGAGGGUCUUCAUUUCGGUUGCGUCGUCUUGAAGGUUGUGACAAUCGCAAUGUCUCAUCCGGUAAGUCAGCAAACGAAGGUUCUUGAGUUGAAUCCGCUGAUUAUUGGCUCUCCAUCUAAUUAGCGUCACAAAAUGCAAAGAAGUUACAAACAAGGAUAGAAAAUUGAAUGUUAUCUUGCCUCAAUCUUGUCUCUUUUAUAAGAGAGGUUUUCAUCUUGGUUUUGAUGGAUGUCGUUGAUGAAAAACUUUGACUUUAGCUGAUGCAUUUGCUAGAUUCCUGGAUGGCUCCCAUGUGCGCUCACUAAUAUCAUAUCCGCACCAAUGAACAAGAUAUUUCAGCUUAUUUCGGCGCCGCCUUGAGUCUAAUAUCUCUUCCACCUCAAAUUCUUCAUUAUUAUCUACUUCUAUAGGAGGCGGUGGCAUUUGUCUUCUUCCUUGUAUAUCCACUGUCUUAUAUGGUUCAAGAAGAGACACGUGGAAUACAGGAUGGAUCUUCAUUGACUCCGGUAGAUGUAACCGAUAUGCAACUGGGUUGAUCUGUUCAGAAACAGAAAAGGGGCCAAGCCUACGAUAGUCCAAUUUGUCACAAGGUCGAGUGGUCUUGAUAUUGCGACGAAGUAGCCAUACCUUAUCACCCACGUUGAGUUGUGGUUGCUCUUUACGAUAUACAUCUGCAUUUAUCUUUUGUCGUUCUUGAGCUUUCUUCAACUGCGCCCUCAUUAUUGCAUGUAACUCUGACAACCGAUUUGCCAUAUCUUCUGCUGUAGGAUUAUCAACUUUUGAAAAAUCAAAAGUAUCAAGUCGUGGAUGAUAGCCAUAAUUGGCAAAGAAAGGUGUUUGUUGCGUGGAGGAAUGUACCGUAUUAUUAUAAGCAAACUCUGCCAAUGGCAGAAGGUUUGUCCAAUCAUUUUGUUGGUAGUUGAUGGUACACCUUAAAUACUGUUCCAAGACUUGGUUUACGCGCUCUGUUUGUCCAUCAGUUUGAGGAUGGAAAGCUGAAGAUAGCUUUAUGUCCACUUUUAAAAUCUUGAAAAGAGUCCUCCAGAAUCUCGACACAAAUUGAGUUCCCCUAUCCGAUAUGAUAUCUUUAGGUAAUCCAUGAUAGCGAUAGAUAUUAUCAAUGAAAAGCUUAGCUGUUUCUUCACCUGUGAUAGAUUUUGUACAUGGCAUAAAAUGUGCCAUCUUGGUGAAACGAUCUACUAUCACAAAUAUAGAAUCAUAAGAUCUUGAGUUUGGAAGAUCUGUGAUGAAAUCCAUAGAAACAGAAGACCAUGGUUGUUCUGGUAUAGGUAAUGGCUGAAGAAGUCCGUAAGGUCGAUGUCGAGGAAUUUUUGAUCUUGAACAAAUAUCACAUGAUUGUACAAAGUCUUUGACUGACUUCCACAUUUGUGGCCACCAAAAAUCUCUUGAUAUGAGUUUCAGAGUCUUAUUAUAUCCAAAGUGCCCUGCUGCUGGAAAGUCAUGACGUGCUUGAAGAACACGCAAACGUGCUUUUCCUUCUGGAACAUAUAGGCGUCCUUCAAAAUAUAAUAGAUUAUUCUUGAACUCGAACUUAGAAGAAUCAUGAGACUUGGAAGAAUUAUUCUUGAUAUCAUGAACAAGAGGGUCUGAGGACAUACUGGACUGGAUUUGCUUGAGAAAAGUUGAAUCAACAGUCAAUGUUGAUUUCACUGCUCGGAGAUGAAAUUGCUCCGGUUUCAAGAGGACCGUUCUUUGUUGCUCAAAAGCUGCAUCUCCUUCUUUUGGUGCAAAAUAAGAACGUCUAGACAGGGCAUCGGACAAACCUUGUUGUUUUCCUGGCCGAUAAGUGAUAAUGAAGUCGAAUCUUGACAAAGACAUACUCCAACGAGCUUGACGACGAUUCAACACGCGUGCUGACAUGAAAUACUCGAGGUUCUUGUGAUCUGUAUACACAGUGACUGGACUAGAAGCACCUUCUAGAUAAUGACGCCAUUCUUGAAAAGAAUCCACGAUUGCAAGAAGUUCUUUAUCGUGGAUCUCAUAAUUGAUCUCGGCUGCUGAGAAUUUUCUUGAAUGAAAAGCUAUCGGAUGAAGUUUGUCAUCUGUUCCCAUUUGUGAUAAAACUGCACCCAAGGCAAAAUCCGAUGCGUCUGUUUCUAUAAAAAAUGCCUUGGAAAAGUCAACACGAUAUAAGACUGGUGCAGAGACAAACGAUGUCUUCAAGGCUUCAAAUGCUGCUUCCGCUUCUUGAUUCCAUUGGAAUUUAUCUUUACUAGUCAAGCGUGUAAGUGGAGCUGCAACUCGUGAGAAGUCUUUGAUGAAGAUCCGAUAGUAAUUGGCAAAUCCCAAGAAACAUUGGACAUCUCUCACAGUCUUUGGAAUCUUCCAAUCCAUGAUUGUUUGGACUUUCUUAGAAUCCAUCAUAAGACCAUCAUUUGAAAUGAUGUAUGCUAAAAAGUCAACUUGAGUAGUGUGAAAUACACACUUUUCCAUCUUGGCGUACAAUCCUGCAUCUCUGAGUUUUUGUAAUACUUGACGAACAUGUAUUUCAUGUUCUUCAACAUUCUUAGAAUAAAUCAGGAUAUCGUCUAGGUAGCAGACGACAAAAUUGUCUAAGAAUUCACGAAAUACAUCAUUCAUGAGAUGUUGAAAAGCAGCUGGUGCAUUCGUGAGUCCAAAAGGCAUGACAUUAUAUUCAACAUGCCCGUACCUGGUUCGAAACGCAGUCUUCCAUUCAUCUCCUUCUUUGAUCCGUACUAGAUUAUAUGCUCCUCUUAGAUCUAUUUUUGUAUAGAUCUUAGCUUGAUUUAACUGGUCAAGGAGUCCUGAUAUCAAAGGUAAUGGAUACAUGUUCUUGAUUGUGAUCUUGUUGAGUCCUCGAUAGUCAACACACAUUCGUAAAGAUCCAUCUUUUUUCUUUACGAAUAAAAUUGGAGCUCCUGCUGGAGAUUUUGAAUGGCGUAUGAAAUUCUUCGCUAAAUUCUCGUCAAUAUAUGUCUUGAGUUCAGCCAACUCAUCUUACGAUAAACUGUAAAUUGGUCCAAAUGGUGGCUGAGUUCCUUCCUUGAGAUCGAUUGAACAAUCGUAUGGGCGAUGCUCAGGAAGAAUAUCUGCAUUCUUUUUCUCAAAAACGUCUUGAUAAUCCUGAUAUUGACUUGGAAUGCCACUUGAAGUCUUUACGCUUUCAGAAAUAGGUGCAGCAUAAAUAGCAAAAGUUGAUCCUUCUUUUGCUGCGUGUAUAAAUGCUUUUGCACCUAUAAGUGUGAGUUUUACUAUACUAGACUCAUGGUUUUUUACUUGGUUAAUAGAACUGUUACUAAUGCUCUGAGGAAAAUCAAGUUUACGAGAAAUCCAAUCUAUUCGAGGAUUAUACUUUUCUAACCAUGAUAAGCCUAAAAUUACUGGAUUAGAGGGAGAUCUAAUUAUAUUAAAAAUUACGCAACUACUAUGACCAUUUAUUACUACAUCUACAGGAAGUGUUUCGUGAGUUACAUCUCCAGAAGACAACAGACGACCAUCUAUGACUUCUACGUGUACAGGUUUAGUUUUUUGUAUUAAUGAUAUUCUAUGACAUCUAGCAAAUUCUUCAUCUAAAAAACAAGAUGAGGCUCCUGAAUCUACCAAGGCAGAGGCUUUGUAAUUAUUAGGUCCUAAACGCACAUCUAUUAUAAAACAAGGAGAUGGUUUUGAGGAGAGGAUAGGACCUUUAUUAGAAGUUGUACAAGAUUCCAGCCGCACGGUCCCUAUUGUAGCUGGACGUACUCGUUUUCCGACAUACUGUCUUCUUUGACAGCCGUACUCCUCAUUUUGUAGUUGCGUCGCUUCUUUGGACAAUGUUGAGCAGUGUGCUUAGGUUCUCCACAAUAUAAGCACAAUCCUUCUUGUCGACGACGAGACUUUUCUUGCUCAGUAAGAGGUUUGAAACGUACCGCAUCAAUUUGCAUAUCCUCUACUUCCGAAGGUAUGUGUUGAGGAGACGUCGGUGUUGCCAUUGAAUUGUAGUAACGUUGAGGCCCACUUGUGCGACUCUCGGAUCGAAAUUCAAAAAGUCGACUGUCGCACUUCACAGCAAAGUCAAUUGCUUGACUCAAUGUUUGAGGAUCAGGUAAAUUAAGCAUCAAUUUCUUUACCUCAUAUUGUAAUCCGUAGAAAAAUUGACUCACAAGUGCGGCAUCAUCCCACUUGAUAUCAAUUACAAGUUGUCGAAAUUGCGAAGCAUAUAAUGUUACUGAUCGAUUGCCUUGUCGCAAAAUACGGAUCUUGUUGGUUGCAACACGAAUUGCAUCAUGUUCUCCAAACAUGGAUCGAAACUCCGCCAAAAAAGCCUCCAGAUUAUCCAAUAUUGGAUCUCGUCGUUCAAGAAAAGAUGAAAACCAUGACAAUACUGAACCUGAAAGAAGUGUACCAAUGAAUCUUACUUGUGACCCUGGAGUUGGAUAGCUCUGGGGUUGAAGUUCAAUCACUAGUUGGACCUGAUUGAUGAAUCCUCGAAACUUGGAUCUGGUACCAUCAAACUUCUCGGGCAAGGCAACUCUCGGUUCUCUAACACUCGAAGGGUGUUCCAUUCUGGGAGAAGGGACAUGGUUUGGUACAGAUGUUGAAGCAGCCCCAAUCAUCUCUAUAUCUUCACUUCCUACCAUUCUUGUUGCUCCUUGUGGUGGUAAAUUGAGUUGAUGCAUCGCAAGCAUUAACUCCCUCAAUUGUUCUUGCAUCUGUGCCAUUGCACUCUUCAUUUCAACAAGCUCUGCCAUAGUAGCACUUAGAAAAGAGAAGAUGUCUAACAACGCUCAAAACAAAUAGAAGAGAGGAAUUGAUAACAAAGAAAAUACUAAGAAUAAUAUCAGUUUAAAAGAGGGUAAUCCGCAACUUCUAAUGCGCUUAUGUCUUAUCAAGAAAAAGGGGUAAUCCACUCUUAAUCAAGAAAAGACAAAGCUCUGAUAUUGUAAGUGUACUCUUGUCAAUCUGUCAAGGACAAGAACUCGAUGAAAGCUAAAGAGUAAGUGAGACUUUUCUCAAAAAGAAAUAGGACAAAAUAGAAAUAUGUAUAUUAAGAAAGAAACUGGAAUGGCUAUUGCCAAAAUACAAGAAAACUAGAGACCCUUGAAACUAGACUAGAAGCAAGAAAGGAGUUGACAAGAGUGAAGAGGGCUUCACUCUUGCCUCUAUAUAUACUAUCUAACUAGAAGCCACGUGGCGAUGUUCUAUAAGACCUCCAAUAUAUGUUGACUUUCUAGGCCACAUGCCUUUGCUUGCAAGGCAAGUUUUCUAUGGAUGGACCACGUAGUUAGCUUGUUCUUUAAGCUUCCAACAUGUGUGGCACAUGGCUAACUUGUUGACCAAGUUUCUAACCUAAAAGUCAACUAUAGACUCCUAUAAAGUCAAAGUAGCGUCUAUGAAGCUUCUAAGAAGCUUCUCUAGAAGAUAUUACACAAUUAACCUACUUUUACAUACUUUUAUCUAUUCAUAUAGGUAAUUAUAUGUAUGUCCGUGACAUAUAGUUAUAAAAGUAGACAAAAAUUACUUAAUUAGAUCCAAUGUGGUACUAGAGACUAAUUUCUUAUUAUUAUUGGAUAUGAUUGCCAACUGUUCUAUUCUUAAUAUUGCCGUGCUGAUAUAGAUAGCCUAUAUUAAAUCACUCAAUCCUAUGUUAGUACACAUUUCUGAUAAGAAAAAUUCUAUAAUAAAUGUAUAUUAAGGACAUGAAUUAAAAGAAGAUGUAAAAAUUUGAGAAAUUUGUAUCAAAAGAAAAGUAACAAAAUAGAAAUAAAAUAAUUUCUAUAUUAAAAAGAAAUUAAAAUAGCUAUUGCCAAAAGACAAAGAAAUUAAAGGCUCUUGAAUCUAGAUUAGAAGUAAGAAAGGAAUUGAGAAGAGUGAAGAAGGCUUCACUCUUGCCUCUAUAUAUACUAUCUAACUAAGAGCUACAUGGUGAUGUUCUAUAGGACUUUUAAUAUGUGUUGACUUUGCAUAAUACAUGCUUUAGCUUACAAGGCAAGUUUUCUAUAUGUACGCUAUCGUAAUACGUGAAGUCUUGCUUGAGAAUGCUCUGGGCACUUGGCUGUGGAAGGUAGAAUGGAAAUUGCAACAACAAAAUCCUAAUUCUAAUAGAAUACUAACAAUGCUCUAAUUAGACCAUAAUAAUGCUAAGCAAGUUUUAAUCAAAUUCAAAGAAACUUCAAAUAAAUUUCAAAGAAAUAAUAAAAAACCUUAAAAAAAUAUUAGAAUGAUCACAAAUAUAUCUCAAAUACAUCUUAAUUCAAUCUUAAUUUAAUCUUAGUUAAAAUUAUAUUGGACUUCAUUCAAACUUUAGGCCAAACCUAAUUAAAUCUUAAACCCUAAACAAAUCCUAAUAAAAUCCUAAAUCCUAAAUCAAAUCCUAAAUCCUAAUCAAAUCCAAAAUCUUAAAUCAAACCUUAAUCAAAUCCUAAACCAAACCCUAAGCCCUAAACCAAAUCCUAACUAAACUCUAAAUCCUAAAUGAAAUCCUAACCAAACUCUAAAUCCUAAACCAAAUCCUAAACCAAAUCCUAAAUCCUAAAUCAAAUCCUAAAUCAAACCCUAAAUCAAAUCCUAAAUCCUAAAUCAAAUCCUAACCAAACUCUAAAUCUAAACCAAACUCUAAUCAAACCUUGAAUCCUAAACCAAAUUCCAACCAAACCUUAAACCAAAUCCUAAACCCUAAACAAAUCUUAAACCAAAUCCUAAAUCCUAAAUCAAAUCCUAACCAAAUUCUAACCCUAAAUAAAAUCCUAACCAAACUCUAAACCCUAAACCAAAUCCUAACCAAAUUCUAAAUCCUAAACUAAAUCCUAAUCAAAUCCUAGUAAUUUCUACAACAGAUUUAAACCUCAAUAACUAAUGAAUGAACCAUCAAUCUUAAUUCAAAUUUUACACACUUCUUAAAAACUAAGUUAAAAACAAUUAAAUUUUUUUUGAAAAGGAUUGGAAUUACCAAAUAGACGAUAAUCUCAAAAAUGUGCUUGGAUAUUGGUUAGCCUCCUUUUCCAACCUUCAUGCCAAUCUCUGAAAGCCAAUAUCUCUUGUUUUCAUCAUUCGAUUGAUUUCAAAAUUCUCAUACAUAUAGAAAAACAAGUCUAGUAUCCUUUUACAUAAAUUUCAUUCUAAUAAUACUAGUAGAUUGCAAGAAAUCUUAAAAACCCUUACUAGACCUAAAAUUAUACUUUCUGAAACCUUGACUCACUUAAACCUCAAUAAUCCUCAAUUCAACCGUAAGAUUGAGCUCAAAUUUACAACACAUAUUGAACACAAUUAUAACCAUUAAUCCACAAAAUUUCAUCCAUAGAUCUAUUAUAAAACUUUUGAAAUCACCCAAAAAAUAAAUCCUAUUUUAUUUCACAAAAUCCAAGUCAUCCAAAACAAACCUUGACUUUGCAAAACUCUUACAAAGUCAAUACAGAUUCAAAUCAUCCAAAACUAAUGCUCAUAGAAAUCUUAUCUAAUCUUCUAUCAAACUCCACUCUCGAAUCUGCCAAAGAGUCCCAAAGUGGUUGUCGAGACUUGAUUUUGUGCCUAAGGAUCUGAUUUCGAUCCUAGAUCAUGACCGGCCCUCUCUGGGUAUCAACAUCUAGUUUUUCUAAGUAAUUUUUACUAGAAUUUACUCUUAACUUCCUCCUAAAGAUUUCUAUAUCAUUUAUUUUUCCAAUCUACCUUAUUUUGCGUUAUUUUUGGCCCUACAAAGUAAGUAGAAGCUAUUUUUUUCUAAAAGGGCAGCAUUACUACUAAAAGUUUUACUACCUUCCUAUCUUUUAUCCAUAUUUUUCUACUUUAUCUUUUAACUUGGCUCUUCUAUAAUAAGAUCCAUAUUAUCAUCUUUUAGAAUAUAGUCGUGUUAUAAUUUGAUAGUGCUACAUAGUUAGUUUAUUUUUCAAGCUAUCAACAUGUAUCAUACAUUGCUAACUUGUUGACCAUGUUUCUAAUCUAAAAAGUCAAUUAUAGAUACCUAUAAAGUCAAAGCACCAUCUAUGAAGCUUCUAAGAAGCUUUUAUAGAAGAAAUUAUGAAAUUAACAUACUUUUACAUACUUUUAUCUACUUCUAUCUAAUCAUAUAGAUAAUUUUUAGUUUAUAUGUAUAUAUCUGUGACAAUAUGCUAUCUAGAGUUAGAUAUAUUUAUAUAAAAGAGAUAAAAAUAUAAGAAAUUACUAAAGAUGAUGAAGAUGAGGACUAUGGCUAUAUGCUAAUAAUUAAUGGAAUAAGCACAAGUGAUAAAGAUGUGGCUUUUAGAGAAGAUCUUUAUGGAGGUAAGUUAAGAGACAUUAGUAUUUAUUUGAGUACCAUGAGGAAAUAAGAAGGCUAAUCAAACAAUGCCUUCAAAGACAUUAGAUAUUAAUCUUAUAACUAUAUUUUGAGAGAUAGUUUUUUAUAGAAGAGGCCAAAGAAGAUGGAUGGAAUACCAUUGAAAGUGGUAGAUGAUGCAAAAAAUAAGAAUCAAGUUCUCAAGGAGUUUCAUGAUAUACUUUAAGUAGGCCACAUAGGAAUUUGGGCAACCUAUUAUAAGAUCAAAGAACAAUAUUAGUAGAAGAGCUUCUACAAAGAUGUAGAAAAAUUUGUGGCUUCUGACAUUAAAUCCCAAUUGAGUCCAAAGUUAGAUUCAAAAAUAAAUUACAUCCUACUUAUCCACUUGCUAUGUAUUUUCAAUACAUGAUUGACGUGGUAACUAUGCCAUUAGGAUUAUGGAACAUGAAAUCACUUGUUUUGCAAGAAAAGACCUUUGAAAUUAUAUUGAAGAGAGAGCUUUGAGGACCAAAAUCAUUAAAAAAAUGUAUAUAUUUAUCUUGGAGGAUAUCUUUAGUAGAUAUAGCAGUAUUGGAAGAAUGAAGGUUAAUUGAGGAGAAUUGAAUACAACAAAGGCCAAAGAUUUUUUUUCAAAGAUAUGGUGUAAAAUUGAAGCUAAUAAUUACUUAUAAUUUUGAAGGUAAUAGGAAGAGUAUGAGAAGAUAUCUUUUCAUCAUUAAUGUUCUUAUCAAGAAUUAGAGAGGUAAGCCAAAGAAAUGACCAAGAUUUCUACCAUUUGCUUUAUGGAUAAAUAGAACCACCCAUUGUACUAAUACUACUUAUAUGCCUAUUGAAUUAAUAUUGGACUAAAAGCUAAUUAUGCCUGUAGAAGAUUUUGUGCAUACUUGAAUAUUAUUGAAUUGCAAGGAUAGUAUCAUAAGAGAGAGAUUAUUCGAGCUCCAAAUUUAGUAGCUUCAAAGAUUACUUGAAGUUUAAUAGAUGGCAUUAGAGAAAUUAAAGGCUAUUAGGUUGAGUAAUAAAGAGAGUUUUGACUAAAUCCAUUGUUUGAGGUCCAAAUCAAAUGAAGUUAGGAAUUGGUUGUAAGUGUUUGAUAGUAGUUUGGAAUAUCAACAUAGCACUCUUAAGAAGUUUAUUCAAAGAUGAUUUAGACCAAAUAUAAUAGUAAUAGUGUAUAACAAUGCUACUUAUUUGCUUUGUAAAUUGCAUGAUGCGAUGUUGCAGAUAUAUGUGGCUAAAAAGUAAAUCAAUGCAUUUAAGAGAAGAGAUAGGAGAUUUAUUCUAAGUAAUUAUUCAAAUUUUAAAACAAUAAAUUUGGAUCAAAUGAAACAUGCAAAAAUAGAUAGAGAUGAUGAAGAAGUCAAGCAUGGUGAGAUUGAUACAUAUCAAAAGAUGUGUAUAUUUGAAGAAGAUGGAUGUCGUAUUAUAAUUAUUUAUAGUAUAUAAAAAUUAACUAAAAUAGAUAAUAUAUUUAUAAGUAUUGAUAUACUUUAGAAUUUUUAGUAGGAUAAUUUUAAAAAAAUUGAUGUUAUAAAAUUUAUUUUGAGGUUUAUUUAUGUUGAUUAUAAUAUUUAAGCUAUAUAGGAUUUAGAUAUUUACUAUAAAAUUUGAUGUUUUUUUUUUUUUUUUUUUUUUUUUUUUUUUUUUUUUAUCUUGAAGCUUGGAUGAGUAAUUAGUAAUAGCUAGAAGCUGAGUGCUUUCUUAAGACAAAUUCUUUCUAUCUCCACACCGUAUAGUUAGAAUCUCAUAUAAUAUCUAAUAAAAGUUCUUUUCUUUUCUUAGAUUUCUUAUCUUAUUUUAUAAUAGAAGUUUAUUUAUGACCAAAAAAUCACAAAAUCUUAGCUUUGUUAGAUUUAGAAGCCUUUGCCUAUUUUAUUAACAAAAAAUUUAUCAAAAAAACUAAACUUAUACAUGUAGAAGUCAUUGAAAGUAGUUCACUAUCUUUAUGAAAUAUUAUGCAUGAGACUAUUCUUUUAGAUGUAACAAUUAAAGAUCAUAAUAUCAUUGAAAUAUAUAAUGUUAUAAAAUUUUAUCCAAUCUGAUUAUUUUAAGAUUAUCUUGGUUAAAAACAUAUAAUCCUUAGAUAGAUUGGAGUUUUUGUAACCUUUGUUUUUUUAAUAGUUUAACUCAAAAUCUUGUUAGUCAAGUAGAAAUAUAUAAGUCUAGUACAUCGAAACUCUUACUAAUAGCUACAAGAGCUUUUAUGCAUGCAACAAAAGAAGGAUUAACUUUUGUUCUAUACAUCAUAUCUAUUUCUAAUGGUGAAAAGAUGUCAAGUGAUAUUCUUAGCCAAUAUUAAGAUUUCUAAGACAUUUUUGAAAAGAAGAAUGCAAAAAUUCUUUCAAAUCAUCAUUUUUAUGAUUAUUCCAUCAAUCUUUACAAAAGAGCUCAACCACUAUUUGGACCAAACUAUAGCCUAUCACAAAAUGAAUUGGUUGUAUUUAAAGAUAACAUUGAUGAGAACUUUACUUAGAAUUUUAUAUGUCAUUCUAAAACUCUAGUCAAGGCUCCUAUCAUAUUUGUGAUGAAAAAAGAUGGAUCUCUAGGAAUGUGUAUAAAAUAUUGAGGAUUCAAUAAGACCACCAUCAAGAAUAGAUAUCUUCUACCUUUAAUUUUAGGACUUCUUCAUCAAUGGAAUCAAGCAAAGAUUCAUACAAAGAUAGAUCUACAAAGAGCAUAUAAUCUAAUAAAUAUUAAAAAAAUAAAUGAAUAAAAAAUUGCAUUUCAAACCAAGUGUGGAUAUUUUUAAUAUAAUGUCAUGCCUUUUGGAUUCACAAAUACACUCGCUAUUGUAUUGCAUGGCAUUUGGCUUAAAAAUGCACCAGACACCUGACUGUGGAAGAUAAAAUAAAAAUUAUAAUAACAAGUCCUAACAACUCUAAUAGAUUUUUAAACAUAAUCAAACAUCAAUCAAAUUCAAUCAAAAUUUCAAAGAAAUUAUAUAAAAAAUAAAAAGUAUUUUUGGAGAUCCUUUAAAGAAUCAUAAAGAAAUAACAUAGAAAUUCAAAAAUAUACUAAAAUAAAGACUUUAAUAAAAUAUUAAAAUAGAAAUCUUAAUUAAAUUCUAACCAAAUUCUAAUCAAAUCUUAAUAAAUUCUAACCAAAUCUCAAAUAAAUCUUAACCAAAUCCUAAAUAAAUCCUAACCAAAUUCUAAACAAAUUCUAAGAAAAUCCUAAACAAAUCCUAACAAAUCCUAGCCAAAUUCUAAUCAAAUCCUAAAUAAAUCUUAACCAAAUCCUAAUUAAAUUCUAAACAAACCUUAAUCAAGUCCUAAUUAAAUCUUAAACAAAUCUUAAAAAAAUUCUAAAUAAAUCUUUACCAAAUUUUAAACAAAUCUUAAAUAAAUUCUAAUCAAAUCCUAAAUAAAUCCUAGUCAAAUCCUAAUCAAAUCUUAACUAAAUCUUAAACAAAUCUUAAAUAAAUCUUAACAAAAUCCUAGUCAAAUCCUAACAAAUUCUAACCAAAUUCUAAUCAAAUCCUAAAAAAACCUUAAUCAAAUCCUAGUCAAGCUCUAAACAAAUCCUAACCAAAUCCUAACUAAAUCCUAAACAAUUCUAAGUAAAACCUCAACCAAAUCCUAACCAAAUCCUAACCAAAUUCUAAACAACACUUAAUAAAAUCUCAACCAAAGCCUAAUCAAAUCCUAAUGAAACCUUAAUCAAAUCCUAAUCGAUUUC
rnacentral:lncRNA from 1 species